rnacentral:rRNA from 1 species
CAGCACCUCAAGUGGUCAGGAUGAUUAUUGGGCCUAAAGCAUCCGUAGCCGGCUCUGUAAGUUUUCGGUUAAAUCUGUACGCUCAACGUACAGGCUGCCGGGAAUACUGCAGAGCUAGGGAGUGGGAGAGGUAGACGGUACCCGGUAGGAAGGGGUAAAAUCCUUUGAUCUAUUGAUGACCACCUGUGGCGAAGGCGGUCUACCAGAACACGUCCGACGGUGAGGGAUGAAAGCUGGGGGAGCAAACCGGAUUAGAUACCCGCGUAGUCC